GCAAGUCGAACGAGAAAGGCCCUUCGGGGACGAGUAAAGUGGCGGACGGGUGAGGAACGCGUGGAUAAUCUGCCCUUCAGCGGGGGAUAACUACUCGAAAGAGUGGCUAAUACCGCAUAAGACCACACUCUCUGCGGUGAGAGUGGUUAAAGGCUUCGGCCACUGAAGGAUGAGUCCGCGUCCGAUUAGCUUGUUGGUGGGGUAAAAGCCUACCAAGGCUACGAUCGGUAGCUGGUCUAAGAGGAUGAUC
rnacentral:rRNA from 1 species